rnacentral:piRNA from 1 species
CAACCUGAAGCCUGUCAAGACGC